rnacentral:rRNA from 1 species
UACGUAGGGUGCAAGCGUUGUCCGGAAUUAUUGGGCGUAAAGAGCUCGUAGGCGGUCUGUCGCGUCGAUCGUGAAAACUUGGGGCUUAACCCUGAGCUUGCGGUCGAUACGGGCAUGACUGGAGUUCGGCAGGGGAGACUGGAAUUUACGGUGUAGCAGUGAAAUGCGUAGAGAUCAUGAGGAAGACCAGUGGCGAAGGCGGGUCUCUGGACAGUUCCUGACACUGAGGCACGAAGGCCAGGGGAGCAAACGGG